AUUAAGGGUCGUUUAGAUCAGGCCGAGAUGAGUUAUGAGAGCAAGCAUCCCAUCAUACUUCCUUCAGGUCACGUUGCCCAACUUCUGAUACUAUUUCAACAUCUUUUACUCAAACAUGCUGGGGUAUCCACACUUGUAUCAACUCUAAGGAAUAAUUAUUGGAUUGUGGGAGUAAGAAGAAUGUCUAAAUCAGUUUGUAAGAAGUGUAUACCAUGUCGAAGGCAUGAUUCUAGACCUUGUAGUCAACCUGCAGCCCCUCUUCCUGGUUCAAGAGUCAGACCUGCACCUCCUUUCUCUGUAACUGGAUUAGAUUAUGCUGGCCCUUUGUAUUGUGUAGAUAUGCCAGGCAAGAAACUCUAUAUUUUGCUGUUCACUUGUGCUGUCAUAAGAGCGGUUCAUUUGGAGCUUACUGAUUCAUUGUCAAUGCAUGAUUGUGUUCUGGCUAUUCGCAGGUUUGCUGCAAGACGAGGGCUUCCUUCACUUUUUUAUUCAGACAAUGCCAAAACCUUUGUUGCAGCCUCUCGGAAUUUACGUCAGGCCUAUGGUGUUCUCAACCCAGACUGGAAGUUCAUAGUACCUAGAGCUCCAUGGUGGGGAGGCUGGUGGGAACGCUUAGUAAAAACGGUUAAAGUAUCACUGAGGAAGACCUUUGGAGUCAAAUGUUUGUCAAGGUGUCAAUUAGAAACUUCCCUCCAUGAAGUAGAAGCUUGUAUCAACUCUCGGCCUCUGACAUUUGUUAACGUAGAACAUGAUGCACUACCUUCUCUGUCUCCUUCACAUUUUCUGAUUGGGCGGCCUGCUGGGAUUCAAGUGGAGGGUAUUGAUGACUGUAACACUCCCGUGUCAGCUAGAGAUUUAUGCAUUCAGGAAAAUGUACGUCAACAGCAACUUAGUAAAUUCUGGAAAUUGUGGAGCAAUGAUUAUAUUAGAAAUUUACCUCCCUGUGUUAAGGGUUUUGUACCCAGAUGUAAUCUAAGGAAGGGUUCUGUUGUUUUGAUCAGGGAAGAUAAUGUUCCAAGAAUGUCCUGGCCUGUAGGUAUUGUGAUGGAUGUGUUCCCUAGUAAAGACAAUGUAAUUAGAAGUGUAAAAAUCAAGACAAGUAGAGGUAUGAUUUGUAGGCCAGUGCAAAGGCUGCAUGAUUUGGAGAUCAGCUACACUGAUUCUGAUGCAACAAAUAUUGAGAAAUGUUCUGAUAAUGUUAAGGAACUAAAUGCAGAAUUUCCAUGUAUUGAAAAUACAUCAGAAGGUGUCACCAAUGCUGACCUUUGUCCUGUGUCACGUACCAGAAGCGGUCGUUCUGUAAAACCUCCUAGUAGAUUGAAUUUAUGAUAAUGUAGGGACUUUGUAUUUUGGAUUCAUUGCUUAAGUAUAGGAGUAUAUGGUUGUACUCCUAUGGUGGGGAGAAUGUUGGAUCUGCCAAGUGGUUAUUACUUGUUAAUUGGCAGCUAAUCGGGACUUCACUUGACGGUUGUUAUAAGUUUCCCAUUUUCUUAUUUAUUUUCCACUAUAUAUAUGCAAUUUGUAUAAUUUGUUCCUUUUGAUACUUUAUUUGUGUUCUGUAGGUGAAAUUUGUGAAAAUUACUAUAAAAACUGUGUUGAUACGAUGUGAUGUAUAUGGGACGGGGUUAAUACACACACAGUCAGUCACCACCUGAAGCUCGCCGUGUUUGGUUCUCCUUGCCUUCUCCUGGCUGUAUACCUCUACACUUGUCAUAGGAUAUCUUCGCCGUGUUGGCCCCCUUGUACUUGGUGGGGACUCAACAAGAGGAAAGAUGUGAUAAAGGACAAGUUUGGCCCAAAUCUCACAGUAAAACAAAAGAGACAAGCAUGGAUGGAGGUCACCGAGAAGCUGAAUAGUGCAUUCCCUUAUGUUCGACGAUCAAGAGAGCAAGUGGAAAAGAAGUGGCAAAAUUUCCUAUCAAAGGGAAAGCGUGCACUUUCAGCAAGAAAGCAGCAGCACCAUAGAACUGUCGCUAGCAAUGGCUGGAAACGUGACUCGUAGUCGUUGGUGCUUCGUGCCGAUGUGCAAGAAUACUGACAGUACUCCAGGGAAGACAUUUGUGUCUGUGCCAAGUAAUCCAUCUAUAAGAAAAGGCUGGUGGCUCGCAGCUUGACGCGAGUUUCCCAUGUCCAAGGCUCAUAUUUACUGCUGUGAAGAUAAUUUCAACCUCAAAGAAGACAUGGAGAACUACUUAUAUUACACCUUGAUGGGAGGACACAUCAGGCUACACUCUGGAGUUAGGCCUCAUAAGUUCGACUGCCAGGGAAAGAUCACACCUCAGAAUGAGAACAGGGACAGGUUGCAGAGGAAGAGGAAGGUUCUGGAGAUUCUUUCUUCAAAAGAAAAUUUAAUGGAACUUCACCAAAAUAAGUGUCCAUAGAGCAUAUCUAGCACCUCAGCCUGACCAUGUGGAUCAGAGGAUAGAGCAUGAUGGGCAUGUUGAUCCUGAGCCACUCACCCCUUCUACACAGGACACUGGAAUACAAUUGCAGGUAUAUCCAAGAAAGAGGUUCAAGGGGGUGCAAGUUCAACCAGUGAAGGCAGAUGCGAUGAAUAACACAGAUGGUCACAUGGUGGGCAAGAUGAAGAAAACUGAAAGUACAUCUGAGGAUUCUGUUUCCACAUCAGAAAGUAGUGAUGUAGAUCAUGAUAAAAGUAAAGAUUAUGUACCAUUAGACAGUACUUCCUGUAGUGAUGAUGAAAAGAACUUUAAAAAAUUAACUCUGUACACAAAAAAGAAAAUUAAUACUAAAACAUCCAAUGGAAUACAUUGGAUUACACAAGAGGCAUUUGUAUAUUUUACAUAUUCUGUGUAGUCAUGUAACCUACAAAGAAAGGGGACAAAUUAUUUCAAACAAAGAUGUGGUAUUAAUUGUGCUAAUGACUAUUCGUACAGGAUCACCAGAGUACAUGAUUGCACACAGGUUUGGUGUCAGCAACAGCUGUGUUAGUCGCAUCCUUACUCGCUUUCUACCUGUCAUAAGUGCUUGUUUGAAAGAGCUGAUUUUCUGGUCACCAUCCGAGACCAUUAGAACAAGGCUUCCACACUCUUUCAAAGCUUACCAUCAUAAGGUCAAAAGUAUCAUUGAUUGCUUUGAAAUACAGAUAGAAAAGCCAUCCUCUGCCAUAGCACAGAGUAUGACUUGGUCUGAUUACAAGAAAUGUAAUACUGUGAAGUAUCUAGUGUCCGUAACUCCAGAUGGAUUAAUUAAUUUCAUAUCCACUGGUAAGCCUGGUAGAUGCAGUGAUAUGUAGUUAUUACAGGGAUCGGGUUACGUGGACUGUUUGAGACCAGGUUCUACAGUAUUGGCUGAUCGAGGCUUCAAAGAGGUGGAAGCUGAUCUCACUGCCAGAGGAUGUCAUUUGGAACGUCCUGCUAGUGUUAGCCAAGGGGAACAGUUACCAAACAGAACAGUCCUCAACAUGAAAGUUGUUGCUGAUUUGAGGAUCCAUGUUGAGAGAGUAAUAAGAAGAAUUAGAGUUUAUAAAAUCCUUGACAUGCAUUCAUGUAUUCCUCUUUCAGUGAUGGAUCUACUAGAUAAUAUUGUGUACAUAGUUUGUGGUUUAGUUAAUCUACAGGAACGAAUUUGUAGAAUUUAUUUUUUUAAAAGUGCACAGCACUGGUACAGUAAAUGUACAACAGUAUUAUCCUGACAAUACCAAUCUCACAUUUCAAGUAUUAGUACUGAAAGUUAAAUUUACUCCAGUAAAAGUAAAAUAAGUACUUUGUUAUAACAAGGUACUAUUUUACUGUUACUGGAGUACAUUUAACUUGGGUACUACAACUUGAAAUUUGAGAUUGUAUUGUCAGGAUAAUACUCAAAUAGUUACAGUAAAAGGCAACAUGUUGUUUGUAAAUAAAAAGUUGUUAUUUGACUUUGCAACAAUGAAUAUAUGUCUCGUGUAAUGCUGUCUCACCCACAAUGUGCAUAUUGUAAUCCUGUCUCGCCCACAUUUAAGUUAUUAACCCUAGUUUACUGUCAAAAUAAAACAGUUUCCCAAA